CUCGCAGCGAAUGUACCAAGCCCCUGCCACAACUAUUUUUCUGCAGCACCUUCCGGGAGGCAGGCUUAUUACGUAUCUCCUUCAUCUCCUAUUCGUCCCAACGUACGGGGAGGAUCACAUCAAGGGGCUGGAAUUACGAUUUUGAUGCCAUGAGGAAGGCCAGCAUUUUUGUCCAUUCCUAGAUGCCAUUGACCAGAACAGCUUAUUAGAUGACUUCAGAAGACAAUUAACAGUAAAACUCAUUGUAUGUGUCUGGAGUCAAUGUAAACCAAAGUUGGCACCGACAGCAGAUUUUCUCCCCCAGAAUUUCCAACUGCAACCAUGCGGAGCAACUAUGUUACGUGCACCCGCCCAGUCUCCGGCUACCAUCUCAAGAAUUUGGAAUAUAUUUUCGUUUCGGAGUCCCUGAACUCUGACCUGCCCGUGACGGAGGGGAUCUCCCGGGCUUCGAAUUUCCGCCUAACAGCCACCUAUUGGCAAAUUAUUCAAUCUCCCCACACGCCUGCGGUGCGAUGUCCACAGCAGCGGAGAAUGCUUGAAGCUGAUGCCGCUGCGUUUGCAGCGUUUUGUUCUUUGUUUCGGAUUUCCAGCAUCUGUAAGGGCUUUUUUUACUCUGCUCCGAUUUCCAUGGUGGUGGCACCAUUCUCGACUGGUGCUUGAUCCCCAGAAGCUUGGCCGCGGCUCUUUACAUCCCUCUAACUCCGUUAAUAUUGGGGACGAAACGAUUGAAAACCAGUAUUUCAUGAGAAAACAAUUGCUCCGUCAAUUGGACUACCCUGCCUAUUAGGAGCUUGUUGUUAACUUUUAAACCACCGGAAUUAAGCAGGUUAUGUUAAGUGCUGAAACAUUGGCAGUUAACCAUCGGAUUUAACCCUAGUGUUCAG